UUUUUGUAGAGAUGAGGUUUUGCUAUGCUGCCCAGGCUGGGGUUUCACACUUCUGGCCUCAAGUGACCCUCCCACCUCAGCCUCCCAAAGUGCUGGGAUUACAGGUUUUUCACAGUCAUCUUAUGUCUAAACAUUAUAAAGUUGUAAUCAUACCACAUUUACAAUUUCACAUCCUGCUUUUCUUAAUAAUGAAAUGUCAUGACAUUAAAAUAUUACAAAGCUUUAAUAAAUAUGAUAAAUAUUAUAUAAUUUCACUAAACUUUAGGGUAUCAUCAGGCUUUUUAAGUGAUCCUUUUAUUGUUUAUCUACAUAGUUUCAAACUUUCUGCUAGUAAAAAUAAUGCUGGCAAAACCUAUUCACACCCAGUUUUCUUCACACAUUCUUAAGUUUGAUUCAUAAUUAAAAUUAUGAAUUACAAUUAUAAAUCAUUUCAAAUUUGAUGCAUACUGACGAAUUCUUUUACUAACAGAUUUUAUCCAUUUAUCUUUCCUUUUAAUAAUUAGCUUUUUGCUAUUCUUGCCUGUUUACUCCUCUCAAGAAAUUUCAUAAUAAUUCUGUCCAUUUUACCAUAAGAAUUCUACCUGGAAUUCUGAUUAAUAGCAUUGAAGCUAUAUAUUAAUAUGGAAAGUUGAAGAAAUUCUUAAGAAAAAAAUUAAUGUUUCAGCUAAAAAAUUUAACCCAAUAAUCUGGAAACUUCAUUUAUCUAAAAUAUAGCAUCUCCCCACGUCAAGUGACUUGUUCCUGCACUGCCUCCUAACAGGGAAAAGGAACACUGUACUUACCAUCCUGGCCAACAUGGGGAAACCCUGUCUCUACUAAAAAUACAAAAAUUAGCUGGGCAUGGUGGUACGUGCCUGUAGUCCCAGCUACUUGGGAGGCUGAGGCAGGAGAAUCGCUUGAACACAGGAGGCAGAGGUUGCAGUGAGCCAAGAUCUCGCCAAUGCACUCCAGCCUGGGCAACAGAGCAUGAUUACAUCUCAAAAACACAAAAACCAAAAAAAUCCUACUUUAUGGUGUGGCUAUAAUGGUAAGAUUAUAUAAAAUAACAUCUAUAAGGUAUUUGUGCGGAAGUAGGUAAUUAAUAAAAGGUGGUUAUGACUAAGAGAGUUUCCAAAAGAGUGGCCUAAGAGUAAACUAUACUAAACAAGGAUGCCUAAAUAUCAUUCAAAUUUCUCCUCAAUGUUUCAUGAUGUUGGGUCUCUGCCAACAGUAUGUAAUACACUGUAGAGUCAAGCUAAACCAAAGAAAAUUGUCCCUGUCUUACUCAAAGUUUUGUGAAUUUAUUCAAACAAUGUCAAAGACACUAAGCAGAGCUAGCCCUGAACUUUUCAACUCACUAAUAAAUAAAGGAGAAAUAAUGCCUCUUGUCCAUUUUGUUAUUCUUUGGAUAUUUAACAAAUUUGAUUAAGACAUUCCUUUACUUCCAGAGAUUACACUUUGGCAGAAAAGAUUAGACAUAUAUACAAAAAACUAUAAAACAAAACAGAAAUUGAUAAUUACCGAAAAAGAAGUCAAAUGCUUUGGGAGAACAGAAAAAGCUCUGACUUCCUAAUUCCAUAGCACAUAGCAGAGGCUAAAUUAAUGCUCCAGGAACUUUAUGAGAGAAGCGACAAUUUUGCCCCAGCUGCCAAGAAAACACAAAAGAUGAUGAUUUUCCAGGCCAAGGGAAGAGCAUGAACAGCACAGAGGUAGGAAAUCAACAUUUU